rnacentral:rRNA from 1 species
CCUACGGGAGGCAGCAGUGAGGAAUAUUGGUCAAUGGACGAGAGUCUGAACCAGCCAAGUAGCGUGAAGGAUGACUGCCCUAUGGGUUGUAAACUUCUUUUAUAUGGGAAUAAAAUGUUCCACGUGUGGGAUUUUGUAUGUACCAUAUGAAUAAGGAUCGGCUAACUCCGUGCCAGCAGCCGCGGUAAUACGGAGGAUCCGAGCGUUAUCCGGAUUUAUUGGGUUUAAAGGGAGCGUAGGUGGAUUGUUAAGUCAGUUGUGAAAGUUUGCGGCUCAACCGUAAAAUUGCAGUUGAAACUGGCAGUCUUGAGUACAGUAGAGGUGGGCGGAAUUCGUGGUGUAGCGGUGAAAUGCUUAGAUAUCACGAAGAACUCCGAUUGCGAAGGCAGUUCACUGGACUGCAACUGACACUGAGGCUCGAAAGUGUGGGUAUCAAACAGGAUUAGACACCCCAGUAGUC